CCUACGGGUGACAGCAGUGGGGGAUAUUGCACAAUGGGGGGAACCCUGAUGCAGCGAAGCCGCGUGGGUGAAGAAGCGCCUCGGCGCGUAAAGCCCUGUCAGCAGGGGAGAAAAUGACGGUACCUGAAGAAGAAGCCCCGGCUAACUACGUGCCAGCAGCCGAGGUACUACGGAGGGGGCAAGCGUGAUCCGGAUUUACUGGGGGUAAAGGGGUCGCAGACGGCGAUGCAAGCCAGGAGUGAAAGCCCGGGGCCGAACCCCAGGACUGCUCUUGGAACUGCGUGGCUGGAGUGCAGGAGGGGCAGGCGGAAUUCCUGGUGUAGCGGUGAAAUGCGUAGAUAUCAGGAGGAACACCGGUGGCGAAGGCGGCCUGCUGGACUGCAACUGACGUUGAGGCCCGAAAGCGUGGGGAGCAAACAGGAUUAGAUACCCUUGUAGUC
rnacentral:rRNA from 1 species